GAUGAACGCUGACAGAAUGCUUAACACAUGCAAGUCAUUGGCGAAGCUGCGCUUGCGCAGUCUAGCCAAGGCGGACGGGUGAGUAACGCGUAAGGAACUUGCCCUGCAGACAGGGAUAACAGACGGAAACGACUGAUAACACCUGGUAUUGUCAGGCUGGCGCAUGCCGGCCUGAUGAAAGGAGACGCUGCAGGAAAGCCGUGCGUCCUAUUAGCUAGUUGGUGGGGUAACGGCCCACCAAGGCGAUGAUAGGUAGCCGGCCUGAGAGGGUGAACGGCCACAAGGAGACUGAGAUACGGCCCUUACUCCUACGGGAGGCAGCAGUGGGGAAUAUUGGACAAUGGGGGCAACCCUGAUACAGCAAUUCUGUGUGGACGAAGAAGGUUUUCGGAUUGUAAAGUGCUUUCAGCAGGGAAGAAGAAAGUGACGGUACCUGCAGAAGAAGCGACGGCUAAAUACGUG
rnacentral:rRNA from 1 species